UUAACAUUCACCAUGACGCACUUCCGUGAAUGAGGAUACAUGUAUCGAUGACUUGCAACGUUUGUAAUACGUUUGAUACUUCGAGUAGUAAAGAGAACACGCCGUUGAAGUUCUCCGCGACAUUUUAACAAUUUAAGGUUUGCUUGCUUUUACUUUUUUGAAAGCGCUCUAGUCUUUUACCAAACUUUGGAGUUUGUGAAAACCGAAACCAGCGUGUUUCCUGCCAUUUUCGUUCAGUAGCCUAUUUUUUUCGUUAUGUGUAAAGAAGCCAUGGAGCCAAGAGACGAGAACAGAAAAAUUGGACACUCUUUUGUGAAGGACAGUGGUUUGAAGUCGAAGAACAUUGUUUUUCGGUCAAGGUUUAACUUGAAGACCCUCCGCGACUAUUCCAUUGAACGAAGAAAGGAUGUUCGUCAAUUCAAGAAGUCUGGACGGAGAUACAGUGGUGCCCAAAAGCACCUGGGCCUAAGCUAUGCGGUGGCAUCCUGCACGAGAGGUUUGAAGAAGACGAAGACCCAACCAGCUGACUGCUCGGCAGCAAUGGCCCCCCAGAACACAACGCAGUACAUCAUGGACCGCGUGUAUGAAGACUUGUGUGAAGAUUGGUUAACCCAGGACAAUUGCUCAUCACAGUUACUUGUUACAGAGGGCGCCUUUCGUCUACAGGACGGGACAGAAGUUCCGUUUACCUCAACAGCCCCGCAGCAAUGUCCCUUUGAGCGGACUCUAGAGUUUCUACAGAGGGAUUUCGAGAAUGUCGUGUUUUGGAACGAAAUCUGAGGCCAUGACCGACGCUCUGCCACGAGCGCUCAACAGGCCCAACGCGGACACGGCUUUCUGAGCCAACAGACAAUGACAGUGAGCACUGGCCACGGACAAAAUGUGCCAUUGAAGCACCGACGCUGUCCACACGCAAGGGGGAGCUCUCCGCAUGUCCUUGCCAUACGGCUCUGGUCCUUGCAGUUGCGGUUGCGCACUUGGGGACCCCCGAGCCGUGCGCGCUCUGCCUUGACCACACCUCGUGGUCCUCAGGUAAACGUGUCUCAUCGUGAAGGUACACAUGGCAUACUAUAGCAGCUAUUUCUAGCUAACUCUGAACACAUACCAGAUGAAAUAACUUAAGGUGUAAAAGGUUGCUCACUUAUUGCAUGUUGAAAAGAGUUGGCUAUGGUCGCAACUGUUGUCGGAGACUUUUUCAGGUCACCACCCUCCCUCCGCCGAAGCACAGCUGACUCACAGCAGCGCAUCGUCAGCCUCCGCAACCCCAGGACUCGAGAAGUUGGUAAUUAACUUCCCUUUUCACCUACCCCAUGUCUCAGACUGAAACCUUGCUGUGACCUGACCAGUAUCAUGGUGCGUGUGGGUGAAAUAAGAUGUGUAUAUAUUUUUUCAAGCGAACAGUGUGGUGAAUGUUUUUAUUUUCGGUUGAACGUGUGUGGUAUAAAUAAAAUAUAUGAAU